UAUAAAAAUAUUAUGCACACGUGUAUAGGCGGAUAAUAAACACCGAUAGAGGCGUACGCUUCGAAUCGAGCACGUAUCGGAGACGUACGCACGUUACACGAAUAAAUUAAAAUAUCUCCGACUCGUUCGACUCGUAUUGCGCGCGCGGAAACAUUUCUAAACGGGCACAGAGACGAAUAUUAUUACGUUUUCUGGAAUGCUAGCCUAUAAUACGACGUUAUUAUGUUAUGCGUUGCCGUCCCGCAGAGCGAUCCGGUAGUCGAGUGGCGGUCUCGAGGUGAGCAUCCGGCCGGACAACGGUGCGAUUAAAUACCGUGACUCAUCGACGGCGCGAGAACAAUUAUAUCGUCCGGGCGCGUACCCUUUGCCGUCGCCG